AGCGUAGAGUGAUGCAACAAUGGAUGAUCCGCAGCCAAGUCCUAAGGGCUCCCAGAGCCUACGGAUGCCGUUCAUCGACUGGAUGGCGGUGGGCUCCGGGCACUUCGGUGCCUGGAGUCUAAGAUACAGUCAGUCCCCCGGGGAGACCCGGGC
rnacentral:ribozyme from 1 species